GUGCAGCAGUCGAGAAUAGUCUACAAUGGACGAAAGUCUGAUAGUGCGACGCCGUGUGUGCGAUUAAUUCCUUCGGGAUGUAAAGCACUUUUCUAUGAGAUAAAAGCUCUUUAGGUUAAUAGCUUAUUGAGACGGAUAUUAUUAUAGGAAUAAGCUCCGGCUAACUCCGUGCCAGCAGCCGCGGUAAUACGGAAGGAGCGAGCGUUGUCCGGAUUUACUAGGCGUAAAGGGCUAGUAGGCGACUAAUUAAGUUAUAUGUUAAAUCCCACGGCUCAACUGUGGUCCUGCAUGUAGUACUGGUUAGAUAGAGUACUGUAGAGGAAGGCAGAAUUCCUGGAGUAGCGGUGGAAUGCGCAGAUAUCAGGAAGAAUACCAAAAGCGAAGGCAGCCUUCUGGGCAGUUACUGACGCUGAAUAGCGAAGGUGUGGGUAGCGAACAGGAUUAGAUACCCGGGUA
rnacentral:rRNA from 1 species